rnacentral:ncRNA from 1 species
GUCUGUGGCUAGCUACGCUGUUUGGUGGAUGGCUUGGCUCGGGCGCCGAUGAAGGUCGUGCCAAGCUGCGAUAUGCAUUGGGUAGGCGCAAGGAACCGUUGAUCCAAUGAUUACCGAAUGGGACUUCCUACGCUUCGGCGUAAUCAGUAAUGAUGGGGAACGCGGGGGAUUGAAGCAUCUUAGUACCCGCAGGAAAAGAAAUCAAUCGAGAUGCCGUGAGUAAAGGCGAUCGAAAACGGCACAGGGCAAACCGAAUCCCGUGUGGAAACAUAUGGGAGAUGUGGUGUUAGGACUCUGUGUUUCCUUAGUGCG